CCUACGGGGGGCUGCAGUGGGGAAUAUUGGGCAAUGGGCGCAAGCCUGACCCAGCAACGCCGCGUGAAGGAAGAAGGCUUUCGGGUUGUAAACUUCUUUUGUCAGGGAAGAGUAGAAGACGGUACCUGACGAAUAAGCCACGGCUAACUACGUGCCAGCAGCCGCGGUAAUACGUAGGUGGCAAGCGUUGUCCGGAUUUACGGGGUGUAAAGGGCGUGUAGCCGGGUUGACAAGUCAGAUGUGAAAUCCUGCGGCUUAACCGGAGCACUGCAUGUGAAACUGUUGAUCUUGAGUACUGGAGAGGCAGACGGAAUUCCUAGUGUAGCGGUGAAAUGCGUAGAUAUUAGGAGGAACACCAGUGGCGAAGGCGGUCUGCUGGACAGCAACUGACGGUGAGGCGCGAAAGCGUGGGGAGCAAACAGGAUUAGAUACCCGAGUAGUC
rnacentral:rRNA from 1 species